CACGGCUCAGCAAUGAAUGUAUAUCCGGGUGAUUGUGGCUCGUACAGAAGAAACCCUCGUGGAGUUCAUCAAACAAGAUGGAUUCAAGAGUCAAUUGGAGAAAGGGCGUGGCUUAUAUCUCUUUGAAGGAGAGCCACUGAAAGGCAGGAUGAGAGAUGUCCAGUUUAUUUAUAGUAACAGCUACUUGGAAAACAGAGCCAGUGUCUGAAAAAAAGUUUGGCCAGCACAUUGGCAUGGAUUCAACUUGUAAGAGUUGAAUUGGAACUGACGUUCUGCGUCUAUCAGUCGCGCCUAUCAUUGUCCAGUGGCGAGUAGUGCGCCGCCUAGCCGCCCUGCCCGCCAGAUUCUUCUGGAUUUCAUUCCAUGUGAGCGACAUUGUUAGGCAAUUCCUGUGGUGGAUUGGAGCUUCAUGGAUCGAUGUAUUCCACUCACAGUGUUAACUACAUCUCAGAAUGAAACUGAAGGGGACACAAAGUAAUUCAGAA